CAAGGUUAAUAACUGCUAGUCUCAAAACGCACGCACAUAAUGAAUGAGUUGAUGAAGAUGUCUGUCCAAUUAUACAAAGAGCUGAAUCGUGCAGGAAGGUGAGAGCUUGGAAGUAAAAGAACUAAACAGAAAAAACAAAUGACAGUGCAUAAUGGAAAUUCAGUGUAAUGACCAUGAAAACAAAUGUCCUCAGGGGAGAGUUGGUGGUGGCACGAAAAAUAAAAAGGGCCUGGACUUGAAUACAGUUUCAUCUGAUUCAUUUUCACCCACUUCCUAAAGAAGCCGCAAAACAAAGAAAAACAGGAUACUGAGUUCCUCUCUCCCUCCACCAAGUCCAGCCUUAAAGUUAUAUUUGUUCUUUGGGCAGAGCACUAAAUGCCGUCACAGCUUUUGAGAUGCUGUAACUCACUGUUAGGAAAAUUAUGAUCUGUUGAAAAAACUAAUUCAAAUUAAAAUGAUUGGUACUUACAAAGUUACUUUCUGUUUUUAAAUGCUUUCUGCUAUAAGUCUCAUUCACACAGUACUUAACUUGUACAUCUAAUAUUCACAGACACACACUGGAGAGGAGGAGCCGUGGACUGAUCCAUCGACCUUCUGAUUGGUAGACGAUCUGCUUUACCACCUGAGCCACAGCCGCCCAAGGAGAUGAGCUCGUUCCAGUUCCUAACAAACCCCAGAGUUGUUUGCUUAAUGUGAAAAUGUGAUCGUACCUCAAUCCAACUCAAUUACCAGAGACAGAAAUGGACGAGAAAGCAGCAGAGGGGGAACGACACACACGCAAUGGACUCAAACCGAGGCCCCUGCUGUGGCUUUCAGCAUCCGGGUCACAAGCUCAAACAGCACCGACCCAUCGAUACAUGGACUCCACUAGACCCCUGAAGGUGUGCUGGUGUGCUGUGGUAUCUGGCACCAAGAUGUUAGCAACAGAUCCAACACGUCCUGUAAGUCGAGGAUGGGCCACCAUGGAUCUUUGGCCAAGUCAACACCUCAAACUCAUUCCUGGUCUGCAGCAGUGCUUCGGUAAAUGGUACGUGUCAAACAAGCAUCAACAUAGAUGGCAAGGUUUCCCAGCAGAACAUAGCCCAAAGCAUCACAGCUCCUCCUUGGGUUUUCCUUCUUCCCCUAUUGGAUUCGGAUACUAGGCGUUUCCCCAGGUAAGUGAUCACAUGCACCUGGUCAUCCCCACGUGAUGUAAAAGAAAUCAUGAAAAUGUCAUCAGACCAGGCCACCUUCUUCAAUUGCUUUGUGGUUCAGUGCUGUAUUCUAAUUUGAUUGUGUUUUGGACAUUUUCAGUGCGUUAUUCUAGUUUCACUAUUGCCAAAAGGUUAGAGUGAGUGAGAGAAUGUAUGUUAACUAUGGGGUGCUACGCUUCAGUGUAAGCUCCACAACUGAACUGAAGCUAAUAAAGUGGACAAAAGGACGAUGGAGUCGUGUCUCAACAUGGACAGAGGUCAGCAUGGGCACCCUGACUGGUGUGCGGCAAAGCAGCCUCAUACACACCAAACUGUACUCUGUAUUCUGACACCUUUCUAUAAAAAACAGAAUGAACUUUUUCAGCAAUCUGAGCUACAGUAGCUCGUCUCUUGUAUCGGGCUGCACAGACUAGCCUUCGCUCCCCAUGUGCAUCAGUGAGCCUAAGCCACCCAUGACCCUGUUGCUGGUUCACCACUGUUCCUUCUCCACACCCCACAAGAGCUUCAGCUUUGGAGAUGCUCUGACCCUGUCAUCUACAGUAGCCAUCACAAUUUGGACUUUGUCAGACUCGCUCAGAUCCUUAUGCUCGCCCCUUUUUUUCCUGCUUCUAACACAUCAACUCUGAGAACAAAAUGUUUACUGGUUCCCUAAAAUAUCCCACCCAGCAACAGUUUCCAUGAUGAAAAGAUGAUCAGUGUUAUUCACUUCACCUGUCAGCAGUCACUUUGUUAUGUCUGAUCGGUGUAUACUGAAAUCCCAAACAGCUUUGUUAAUAUACAUUUUUAAUCUGCUCUUUAAUAAACAGACUCAUUUUUCAAAUUUUAGAAAAAUAUAAAAUGAACACAAAUCUGGAGAUUUGUGGCUUUGUGGAAAGUAAUGUUACACAUUGAAACACUAAGAUUACUAUUUACAUUCAUGGACAGUGUGAACAAACACCUGCCCCUACCCAUGUCGGUGACCAAGGGCUGAAAUUCAAAUGCUUUUCCCUCCCCCGUUUCUAAACCAGCAGUGGUCCAAACCUCUUGACCCCGCUCCCAUUCGAGCAGUAGCCCCAGGCUGUAGCCCUAUAUGCCUGCCCGCCCCCCCACCAUACAUGUGUCUGAUCGAAUGCUCUGCUCCACUUCAUCAGCUCUUAGUGAAUCAAUAGACAUCACAAAGAUAAUCUACACUAUGAUAGAGUGCUUACACGGCGACAGAGCGCUUUGAAAACUAUAUAAAGAGACAGGAAGAAAAAAUGGAAAGAUACUGAAACUAG